UAGCUCAAUUGGUAGAGCGUGGCGCUUUUAACACCAGAGUAGUGGGUUCAAUUCCCGC
rnacentral:tRNA from 1 species